CCUACCUCUAGAGAAAAUGGAUGCAGGUGUGACUGCUGUGUCCCCUGUGGGUCAGUAGGUGGCAGAGAGGAAAGAAUCUACCUCUACACCAGAUGUUCUGACUUAGAACCUCUGAAUGAUUAGCAAUCUAACACU